AGGCAAGAUGGCGCUGAAGACGUGCACGGGGUGUUGAAUAAAUCUACAGAACUGUAUCCUCCAGGAUAGCAGCUACAUUUCUCCUGGUGGAAGAACGACAAAUUCUCGGAUUUCAAGAUACCCAUUCAAGUGCCGAGGAUACCAUGGUGCAACAUGCGAGAGAACUCUAAUGCGGCACAUUUCACGAGG